UAACUAUAAUGAUCCACACCAACGGACAAUAAAGUUCUGUUUAUUAUUAUACAUGCUGUGGUUAUGUUGUCUGCCAUUUUAAGUGCUCAAGCUCUUUAAAGUCGGGUAGAUUCUGAUUGGCUGUCAAUGUUUUUAGUGGUCAUCAUAUGAUUUAAUAAAAUUCUCUUCCCUGUCUUGCAGGAUUUCUCACAGAUUGCUUAGUCAUUCUCCAUCAGCUCCCUACAAUAUUAGACCCAAUGGAUCUUUUAAAAAAAAGCUUCCAAAAGCUUCUACAUCUCUCUCUCUCUCUCUCUCUCUCUCUCUCGUGUGGCACAUCUGCUCUCAGCCCUUCUACACUCUUACUAACAAUUUCUGCUCUUAGCAUGUCUACUUAUUUCUCCUCUACAGUGAACACAUCUCUACUGUGAGCAGUCCUAUCACUACCACCAUCCCUCCCACUGUAUUCUACAUGCCAACACCGGGGAAGACGGUAAAUAAUUAAAAUGGGAAGAAAAGAAUAUCUGCCCGAUGGGAGCCUUGCAACUCCUGUGGCACAGACUGGAGAAGUACCUGGCUGACAGACGCUGUGGUUCUGGGCACUUAUGUUUGUCUUUAAACAGUUUGACAUAUCAAUAAAACUGUGAAAUUAC